rnacentral:lncRNA from 1 species
CGCGUACCGCCCCGUUCCCCCACCGUUUCCGACCCGGCAGCUUCUGGAAAACAGCGCCCUUGAUCCUCCCGGGCAGGAAGAAGGGCCAAGGAAGGGGUUAGAAGGGAAAGAGUUAGGAUUUCCCAAGAACCAGCCCUGAAGGCCUGGAGGUGGGGGAUUUCGCUUCUUAGUUGGACGGGAGCCCCUUGGGUUCCUCACUUCUUAGCCCGCGCCCUGCGGGAGGAGCGACUCUGCUUGUCCCUCAAGAUGCUUGUGAAGGUGCCCGCUGCGCUCUGACACCGGCGAUCUCUUAGAGUCUGUCUCCUGCCUCUCCUUUCUCCUGUUGUACAUUGAAUUUUCCAGGCAGUCCAAAAUAUUGCAGUAAACUGACAGCCACUCUGUCUCUUCCAAGAGAAAACAAAUUGAGUGCUUUCCGUCACUGCUGGGACAGCAGAGCCAGUUUACAGGAGGGAGUCCAUGCUGGGGCAUUUCUGUAACCACUGCAGAGAGCCACUCACUGAUUUUCAGAAGAAGUCUCAAUCCUC